AAAAAAACGCAUACCUCCCUGUUCCGUUCCCCUCAAAAGGAAAAAAACUCCAUGACUGAUAUGAACCACAUCUAACUUCUGUGGCCAAAACAAUAUCAAGCUCAAACACAACAAAUUAAAACCCACACCAAAUCAAACAACAUCUAACUUAUGGGUUUUUGGAUUUUGUAAUUCUUUUUUUCUCUCAUCUGCAAAUUAAAACCCACACCCAUAUGAAAUUUGCUUUUAAUUUUCAGCAAGUUUCAAAGUCCAAAUUUUUUUUUGGUUAAAGAGGGAAAGAAAAAACAGAAAAACACAAAGGAAAAAGAAAAACUACUAGCCACGGGGGAAGUAAGUUCCCCAAGCAUCAUCCUUUAAGAGAGGAAGCAAUCCAUAGGGGGGUUGCAUGAAUAGGCAAGGUUGAGUCUACGGAAGCUCCCAACUUCGCAAGAAAGUCGGCGCAGCGGUUCCCCUCACGAAGAGUGUGCAACUUUGAGAGUCGAAUCAGAUCCUUGAUGUCUUGGAUAAGAGUAGCAUACGCAUGAUAGACCACUGAAGGCCCGUUGAUGAGGUUGACGUAGUGGAGAGAGUCUGAAUAGCAAACAACAUCAACAAUGUUCAAGGUUUGAGCUAGCUGUAACCCCAUAAGAAUAGCAUGUAAUUCAGCAAACAAAAUGUCAUUCGAGUGGUCUAUGUGACCAGAAAAACCGGAGUUGAAGAACCCAAAAUGUUCAAGGUUUCAAAGUCCAAAUUGAUGCAUGUGUUAAAAAUGGGUUCUUUGUUUACUAGGUAAUCUUUGUGCUCUAUUUAUUUGAUUUGGUAAAUUCCCCAUGAAUCCAAUUUGAUGCAGGUUCUUCAAAGGUGAAACACCCUUUUGACAAGCUUGUGAUGUCUAUUCCCACUAUGGAAGCUUUAUUUCUUGCUCUGUUAGUAGUACAAAG
rnacentral:lncRNA from 1 species